GGUUAAGCGACUAAGCGUACACGGUGGAUGCCCUGGCAGUCAGAGGCGAUGAAGGACGUGCUAAUCUGCGAUAAGCGUCGGUGAGGUGAUAUGAACCGUUAUAACCGGCGAUUUCCGAAUGGGGAAACCCAGUGUGUUUCGACACACUAUCAUUAACUGAAUCCAUAGGUUAAUGAGGCGAACCGGGGGAACUGAAACAUCUAAGUACCC
rnacentral:rRNA from 1 species